GACGAACGCUGGCGGCGUGCCUAAUACAUGCAAGUCGAGCGAAUCUUGAGGUGCUUGCACCUCUUGGUUAGCGGCGGACGGGUGAGUAACACGUGGGCAACCUGCCUGUAAGACUGGGAUAACUUCGGGAAACUGGAGCUAAUACCGGAUAAUCCUUGUCCUCUCAUGAGUGAAAGCUGAAAGUCGGUUUACGCUGACACUUACAGAUGGGCCCGCGGCGCAUUAGCUAGUUGGUGAGGUAACGGCUCACCAAAGCGACGAUGCGUAGCCGACCUGAGAGGGUGGUCGGCCACACUGGGACUGAGACACGGCCCAGACUCCUACGGGAGGCAGCAGUAGGGAAUCUUCCGCAAUGGACGAAAGUCUGACGGAGCAACGCCGCGUGAGCGAUGAAGGCCUUCGGGUCGUAAAGCUCUGUUGUUAGGGAAGAACAAGUAUCGGAGUAACUGCCGGUACCUUGACGGUACCUAACCAGAAAGCCACGGCUAACUACGUGCCAGCAGCCGCAGUAAGAC
rnacentral:rRNA from 1 species